CUUGGUCAUUUAGAGGAAGUAAAAGUCGUAACAAGGUUUCCGUAGGUGAACCUGCGGAAGGAUCAUUAAAGAGUAAGGGUGCUCAGCGCCCGACCUCCAACCCUUUGUUGUUAAAACUACCUUGUUGCUUUGGCGGGACCGCUCGGUCUCGAGCCGCUGGGGAUUCGUCCCAGGCGAGCGCCCGCCAGAGUUAAACCAAACUCUUGUUAUUAAACCGGUCGUCUGAGUUAAAAUUUUGAAUAAAUCAAAACUUUCAACAACGGAUCUCUUGGUUCUCGCAUCGAUGAAGAACGCAGCGAAAUGCGAUAAGUAAUGUGAAUUGCAGAAUUCAGUGAAUCAUCGAAUCUUUGAACGCACAUUGCGCCCCUUGGUAUUCCGAGGGGCAUGCCUGUUCGAGCGUCAUUACACCACUCAAGCUAUGCUUGGUAUUGGGUGCCGUCCUUAGUUGGGCGCGCCUUAAAGACCUCGGCGAGGCCUCACCGGCUUUAGGCGUAGUAGAAUUUAUUCGAACGUCUGUCAAAGGAGAGGACUUCUGCCGACUGAAACCUUUUAUUUUUCUAGGUUGACCUCGGAUCAGGUAGGGAUACCCGCUGAACUUAAGCAUAUCAAUAA
rnacentral:rRNA from 1 species